UAGUGAUGAAGGCCUUAGGGUUGUAAAGCUCUUUCAGCUGGGAAGAUAAUGACGGUACCAGCAGAAGAAGCCCCGGCUAACUCCGUGCCAGCAGCCGCGGUAAUACGGAGGGGGCUAGCGUUGUUCGGAAUUACUGGGCGUAAAGCGCACGUAGGCGGACUGGAAAGUUGGGGGUGAAAUCCCGGGGCUCAACCUCGGAACUGCCUUCAAAACUAUCAGUCUGGAGCUCGAGAGAGGUGAGUGGAAUUCCGAGUGUAGAGGUGAAAUUCGUAGAUAUUCGGAGGAACACCAGUGGCGAAGGCGGCUCACUGGCUCGAUACUGACGCUGAGGGGCGAAAGCGUGGGGAGCGAACAGGCUUAGAUACCCUGGUAGUCCACGCUGUAAACGGUGGGUACUAGGUGUGGGGUCCAUUCCACGGGAUUCUGUGCCGUAGCUAACGCAUUAAGUACCCGCCUGGGGAGUACGGCCGCAAGGCUAAACUCAAAGAAU
rnacentral:rRNA from 1 species